rnacentral:rRNA from 1 species
CAAGUGAAGAAGCGCAUACGGUGGAUGCCUUGGCAGUCAGAGGCGAUGAAAGACGUGGUAGCCUGCGAAAAGCUUCGGGGAGUCGGCAAACAGACUUUGAUCCGGAGAUCUCUGAAUGGGGGAACCCACCUAGGAUAACCUAGGUAUCUUGUACUGAAUCCAUAGGUGCAAGAGGCGAACCAGGGGAACUGAAACAUCUAAGUACCCUGAGGAAAAGAAAUCAACCGAGAUUCCCUUAGUAGUGGCGAGCGAACGGGGAUUAGCCCUUAAGCUUCAUUGAUUUUAGCGGAACGCUCUGGAAAGUGCGGCCAUAGUGGGUGAUAGCCCCGUACGCGAAAGGAUCUUUGAAGUGAAAUCGAGUAGGACGGAGCACGAGAAACUUUGUCUGAACAUGGGGGACCAUCCUCCAAGGCUAAAUACUACUGACUGACCGAUAGUGAACCAGUACCGUGAGGGAAAGGCGAAAAGAACCCCGGAGAGGGGAGUGAAAUAGAACCUGAAACCGUAUGCGUACAAGCAGUGGGAGCCUACUUGUUAGGUGACUGCGUACCUUUUGUAUAAUGGGUCAGCGACUUAUAUUCAGUGGCAAGCUUAACCGUAUAGGGUAGGCGUAGCGAAAGCGAGUCUUAAUAGGGCGUUUAGUCGCUGGGUAUAGACCCGAAACCGGGCGAUCUAUCCAUGAGCAGGUUGAAGGUUAGGUAACACUGACUGGAGGACCGAACCCACUCCCGUUGAAAAGGUAGGGGAUGACUUGUGGAUCGGAGUGAAAGGCUAAUCAAGCUCGGAGAUAGCUGGUUCUCCUCGAAAGCUAUUUAGGUAGCGCCUCAUGUAUCACUCUGGGGGGUAGAGCACUGUUUCGGCUAGGGGGUCAUCCCGACUUACCAAACCGAUGCAAACUCCGAAUACCCAGAAGUGCCGAGCAUGGGAGACACACGGCGGGUGCUAACGUCCGUCGUGAAAAGGGAAACAACCCAGACCGCCAGCUAAGGUCCCAAAGUUGUGGUUAAGUGGUAAACGAUGUGGGAAGGCUUAGACAGCUAGGAGGUUGGCUUAGAAGCAGCCAUCCUUUAAAGAAAGCGUAAUAGCUCACUAGUCGAGUCGGCCUGCGCGGAAGAUGUAACGGGGCUCAAACCACACACCGAAGCUGCGGGUGUCACGUAAGUGACGCGGUAGAGGAGCGUUCUGUAAGCCUGUGAAGGUGAGUUGAGAAGCUUGCUGGAGGUAUCAGAAGUGCGAAUGCUGACAUGAGUAACGACAAUGGGUGUGAAAAACACCCACGCCGAAAGACCAAGGGUUCCUGCGCAACGUUAAUCGACGCAGGGUUAGUCGGUUCCUAAGGCGAGGCUGAAAAGCGUAGUCGAUGGGAAACAGGUUAAUAUUCCUGUACUUCUGGUUACUGCGAUGGAGGGACGGAGAAGGCUAGGCCAGCUUGGCGUUGGUUGUCCAAGUUUAAGGUGGUAGGCUGAAAUCUUAGGUAAAUCCGGGGUUUCAAGGCCGAGAGCUGAUGACGAGUCGUCUUUUAGAUGACGAAGUGGUUGAUGCCAUGCUUCCAAGAAAAGCUUCUAAGCUUCAGGUAACCAGGAACCGUACCCCAAACCGACACAGGUGGUCGGGUAGAGAAUACCAAGGCGCUUGAGAGAACUCGGGUGAAGGAACUAGGCAAAAUGGCACCGUAACUUCGGGAGAAGGUGCGCCGGCUAGGGUGAAGGAUUUACUCCGUAAGCUCUGGCUGGUCGAAGAUACCAGGCCGCUGCGACUGUUUAUUAAAAACACAGCACUCUGCAAACACGAAAGUGGACGUAUAGGGUGUGACGCCUGCCCGGUGCCGGAAGGUUAAUUGAUGGGGUUAGCGCAAGCGAAGCUCUUGAUCGAAGCCCCGGUAAACGGCGGCCGUAACUAUAACGGUCCUAAGGUAGCGAAAUUCCUUGUCGGGUAAGUUCCGACCUGCACGAAUGGCGUAACGAUGGCGGCGCUGUCUCCACCCGAGACUCAGUGAAAUUGAAAUCGCUGUGAAGAUGCAGUGUAUCCGCGGCUAGACGGAAAGACCCCGUGAACCUUUACUGUAGCUUUGCACUGGACUUUGAGCCUGCUUGUGUAGGAUAGGUGGGAGGCUUUGAAGCGUGGACGCCAGUUCGCGUGGAGCCAUCCUUGAAAUACCACCCUGGCAUGCUUGAGGUUCUAACUCUGGUCCGUAAUCCGGAUCGAGGACAGUGUAUGGUGGGCAGUUUGACUGGGGCGGUCUCCUCCUAAAGAGUAACGGAGGAGUACGAAGGUGCGCUCAGACCGGUCGGAAAUCGGUCGCAGAGUAUAAAGGCAAAAGCGCGCUUGACUGCGAGACAGACACGUCGAGCAGGUACGAAAGUAGGUCUUAGUGAUCCGGUGGUUCUGUAUGGAAGGGCCAUCGCUCAACGGAUAAAAGGUACUCCGGGGAUAACAGGCUGAUACCGCCCAAGAGUUCAUAUCGACGGCGGUGUUUGGCACCUCGAUGUCGGCUCAUCACAUCCUGGGGCUGAAGCCGGUCCCAAGGGUAUGGCUGUUCGCCAUUUAAAGUGGUACGCGAGCUGGGUUUAGAACGUCGUGAGACAGUUCGGUCCCUAUCUGCCGUGGACGUUUGAGAUUUGAGAGGGGCUGCUCCUAGUACGAGAGGACCGGAGUGGACGAACCUCUGGUGUUCCGGUUGUCACGCCAGUGGCAUUGCCGGGUAGCUAUGUUCGGAAAAGAUAACCGCUGAAAGCAUCUAAGCGGGAAACUUGCCUCAAGAUGAGAUCUCACUGGGAACUUGAUUCCCCUGAAGGGCCGUCGAAGACUACGACGUUGAUAGGCUGGGUGUGUAAGCGUUGUGAGGCGUUGAGCUAACCAGUACUAAUUGCCCGUGAGGCUUGACCA